rnacentral:rRNA from 1 species
GUGCCAGCAGCCGCGGUAAUACGUAGGGUGCAAGCGUUAAUCGGAAUUACUGGGCGUAAAGCGAGCGCAGGCGGUUGUGUAAGACAGAUGUGAAAUCCCCGGGCUCAACCUGGGAACUGCAUUUGUGACUGCACGGCUAGAGUGCGUCAGAGGGGGGUGGAACUCCACGUGUAGCAGUGAAAUGCGUAGAGAUGUGGAAGAACACCGAUGGCGAAGGCAGCCCCCUGGGAUGACACUGACGCUCAUGCUCGAAAGCGUGGGGAGCAAACAGGAUUAGAUACCCUGGUAGUCCACGCCCUAAACGAUGUCUACUAGUUGUCGGUCCUUAAUUGGAUUGGUAACGCAGCUAACGCGUGAAGUAGACCGCCUGGGGAGUACGGUCGCAAGAUUAAAACUUAAAGAAAUUGACGG